CCACCCCACCCAAGGAACCCCCAGCCGUGGGCCCAGGCCCCUGGUCUGGCACGCCGAUGUGAAUCGCGCGAGGCGGGACCGCAGAAUCGCCAGCGACAAUCAGUUUAUUCUGGGGAGGCUGCUACCAUUGGCGCGGAACGAGGAGGAGAGGCGCCGCCUCCGCCAAGUUUACGGUCCUAACUAAAAUGAAGAGAACCCCGUCAAGAAUAACAGAAAGAAAUGGAAAAUCAAAAUCCCCCACCACCUCCCCCA